rnacentral:rRNA from 1 species
CAGUCGCCGCGGGAAUACGUAGGUGGCAAGCGUUGUCCGGAAUUAUUGGGCGUAAAGGGAGCGCAGGCGGUUUAGUAAGUCUGAAGUUAAAGGCAUUGGCUCAACCAAUGUAUGCUUUGGAAACUGUUAGACUUGAGUGCAGAAGGGGAGAGUGGAAUUCCACGUGUAGCGGUGAAAUGCGUAGAUAUAUGGAGGAACACCGGUGGCGAAAGCGGCUCUCUGGCUUGUAACUGACGCUGAGGCUCGAAAGCGUGGGGAGCAAACAGGAUUAGAUACCCGGGUAGUCCCUGUCUCUUAUACA